AGCUCAGCUGGGAGAGCGUCGCCCUUACAAGGCGAAUGUCGGGGGUUCGAUCCCCUCA
rnacentral:tRNA from 1 species